UGCUCAGAAUCCUCCGAGCCACGACGAAGAAUUCGGGAUUUAAUAUCAUCAUAACCAGAACAAUGUCGUCUGUCCGGAUAUUGGUUGUCCUCAUGGUUGUGUGCAUCCUCGCAGGGAGUUUAGUGCAGCAGGCAGAAGCAUGGUGUCGUUGCGCGUACUACUGUAACUGGGGAGAAUGUGAAGUAGCAAGUUGUGGAGGGUGGAAGGUGGUUUGCUGCUCACUCGCUAGCCCUGUGUGUGAUUUCAGAAUUGGGUAAUCAAGUUUUGGAACAUGCAGUCAAAAUAAAACAGACUUGAAACUUGUAUGCGAUAAUGUGUGUAUUCAAUUUUAUUUGAAUAACAAUACAAUUUCAAACAUUAAAUUCCAUUAUAUUUGAUACAGUCGAUUUUAUUAAGAAUAGUCUUUCGAUCGUCAGGAUUAUUCGUAUAAUCGCAUUUUCGAAUAAUCGCUUCUUUGUGUACGUGUACGUGUACAUGUCUGACUUUAUA